AUGGCCGCCGGGGAGCCGCGGCUCUUGGCGCGCUGCGAGCCUGGCCCGGCGCCCACACGCAGCCCGCGCCCUCCCCGCCCCGCCGCCCGCUCCGACUGGCGCUGGGGCACGCGGCGCGCGGGGAGGCGGAGCCGCUGUCACGCUCGCCGCGCGCCCGGCAGCCAAUGGGCGGCCCGGGAGAACGCGGGCAGCACGCGGAGCCCGCGUGUCCCGCGGCACGGGCUAUCAAUCACCCGCCAGUCACUCGCCCCGCCCGCCCCGCCCGCGGCUCCCCCGCUCGGUGCCCGUGCCCCUCGCUGCCCCCCGUGCCCGCGGCCGCACCGGCGCUGGGGAGCCUUCUGCGGCCGCCGCUGCCUUGUCACAGGGCUGGGGUGCGAGGGAGUCGCCGCCGCACUAGUGCGGCUCCCCCGCGGCCUCGGUUUCUGCCGCCAGCGCCAAGCCAGAGCGGCCCGGCCCCCUCGGGAUGCCCGCGGCGCGGGCUCUGCUCCCGGUGCCCUCCCCCGCUGGGGGCCGAGAGGCGGAGCCGCCGUGGCCGCCGCCCGCCGCCUUUAUCUGGCGUGGCGGCGCGGGGGGUGGCGCUGGGGAACACCUUGUUGUAAGAUACGCGCUAUAAAUACGGCGCCGGGGAUGGGUGUGCGGCCACGGGCGGCGGGGAACAGCUUCGAACUACGGACUCUGAUCGCGGGCAGCCGCCGAGCGCAGGCCGCGACGGAGGGCGGCCGGUGCCGCUAGCGCCGAGGAGGAGGAGGAGGAGGUCGCCGCCGCCGGAGGAGCCUCGCGGUCCGGUCCCAGCCGCGUCGCUGAACACGCCUGCCCAGCCGCCAGCAUGAUGCAGAUCUGCGACUCGUACAGCCAGAAGUACUCCCUCUUCAACGCCAUGAACCGCUUCAUCGGCGCCGUCAACAACAUGGACCAGACGGUGAUGGUGCCGAGCCUGCUGCGCGACGUGCCGCUGCUGCUGGAGGAGCUGGACGCGGCGGGCGCCGUGUGCCCAACCCGGGAUGCUGCCCUGCCGCCCGGCGACCCCGGCGCCUACUUCUCCCGCAGGGACAUGUACAGCCACUACAUGCUGCUCAAAUCCAUCCGCAACGACAUCGAGUGGGGCGUGGUGCAGCCGCCGGCGGGCGAGGAGGCCGCCCGCAAGAAGGACAAGCUGGGCGGCGGGCCCGCCGAGGAGGGCGAGGGCGAGGAGGACCUGGAGCAGCAGUUCCAUUACCACCUCAGCGGACUCCACUCGGUCCUCUCCAAGCUCACCCGCAAGGCCAACGUCCUCACCAACAGAUACAAGCAGGAGAUCGGCGUCAGCAGCUGGGGGCAGUGAGCGCAGCGGGGAAGGGGCUCCGAGCCGGCGGGAGCGGCGCGUCCCCGCCCGGCGCUGCCGCUGCUGCGGCGGCCGAGGGCAGCGCCCCGGGCCCGGGCUUCCCUGCGCGCUCCCGAGACUGCAGCAGGUUUUCUACCAACGCACAAGCGAGAGAAAGAAAUGUAAAUUAAUCAAUACUAGUUUAUUAAUUAUUUUGACCCCCCCUCCGUGUUUUUUUCGUUGUGCGGUCCGGGGCGAGCAGGCGCUGUGCCCGCCUCGGCAGGGAGGCUGAACCCGUGUGCGUACGAGGUGGUGGCAUUGCUGGCUGAUGAUGAGGAGGCUCCGCUCAAGCCGAUGAACAUAACGAAACUGGCACGAAAUUGUUUCUGUCACCUCGGAGGGAACCCAGUGAGCUAAGGAACAUCCCUCUGUUGUGGGAGAGAUGGCGGGUCCCAUGGUUGUACAUGUACUGGAGUUUAUUUAAAACUUUUUUACUCAGAUGUAGAGUAUAUUCUAAAAUAAAUGCAAAUGUAUUAACUAAGAGUGACCUAAACUUUUGGUAUGAUUUAUCUUUAAUUAAAUGAUAUUUUUAACAUCUAGAAUUCUUCUGUUUUUCUUCUAUGUUACAUUCAGACUUGCCUUACUAGAUACAGAAAUCUCUCUGUGCAAGAGAGGGGGUUUUGUGGCUUUUUUUUUUUUUCCAUCAAAGCAAUUAGGCAGUGAUGAUAACUUGGCACAUCUAAAAUGUUUGAAUCACCAUAUUAAACUUAACCAUACAUGGCCUGAAUUUUGGGAGCUGUUCCCAGCUGCACAGUGCAGUUGCUCUGUGUGAGUGCUGGCUUGAAGGUCAGUGCCUCUUUAACAAAAUCUGAGAAGAUCGAGUCAUGGUUACUCUGCAGGCAGCGAUUCAUGGAAAUUGGACCAAAGCCGAGGAAUGACUCUUGCUUUUUUCGGGAAGUAUCUUAAUGUACUGUGGGGAGCUCUUUUCUCUCCCUCAGAAUAGGUCUGGCAGACUUGCCUCCCCAGUCUUGCAUUUCUUUUCUCUAAUCCUCCUUGGAUUCCAGGAGUUAAUUGGUUUUAUAUUGUCCAGAUUGUAUUGAUUUCUUUCUCUCUACUUUUUUUUUCAUUUUUCUGAAGUAAAGUACCUCACAAUUGGGUGUAUAGAUUGUGUUCUAACAUUAAGUUUUGAUAUCAAAGCGCAUUUGCUAGUUGUGAUAAAAUACGUAACAGAGAAUAAAUGUUUAAUAAAUAUGUAAGCCCUUACAUCAUGUAAUUUUUUUUCUCAGGCACUGAAAUGCCAAAUUUGUAGACAUACUGAGAUUUCACUUUGUAUUACUGUUAUCAAAUUUAGGGCUUGUUUGGUGGUGUUGGUUUGGGAUUUUUCUUCUAAAAAUAGAAGCAUAUUUCUCUUCAAGGAUAUUUUUGUUUAAAUUCAGAUAUUCCUUAGCACUUUAUUUUUCAGCCCAACUGUUAGGAUGUUGUAGUAAAGCAUGAGCACUCCAGACAUGGUACUCGUUGGCAGAUGUUUGUGUACGUUAAAACACUUGGCCUGAAUCUAUGUUUAAAAAUAUAUAUAUAUUGGAAGGUUUUUUCCCUUCUGGGGUAAAGAACAGCUUUGUAAGGCUGGAUAAUUUUUAGUUUGGCGAUGCUUGUUCUUUUCGUAAUGUUUUUAGUGCCUCUUCCCCUCCCCUCUUGGGAAGAUGCCAGGAAAAAAGUCAGCAACAAGGAGAGGGAUUACCCUGGUUUCCUAACAUGUCAGCUUGCCAGUCUUCCCACAGUCGAGCUAAUGCAAUGUGAAAGGUGCAGUGCCCUGUGCUGGAUGGUGGAGCUCUGUUCUGAAGACAAGGCUGAGGGAGAACCUGUUCUGCUGUGUGGCUCCCUUCUGGCCCUGCACUCCAUCAGCUGGAAACCACAGGCGAAACCUCCGACAAAAGCAGCUCUUGGAGUUUCGCCCCUGUGCCUUUUGAUCUCCUGGUAACUUCUCCUGGUAUGGGUUUAGACAAUACUGUUUAAAUGUUGCACAAGAGACAAUGUGAUGCUGAUUUAGGCUAUGAGUAAUGUCAGAAAAAUAGUGUUACAUUAAUGCAGCAGAGCCAUGAUUAUGGCAUCCAUUCCCUUUGCAUUCUAAAAUAAAAAGCACAAAAGUUUUGGUGAAAGAGCAGCUGAAAUCUUGUGCUAUGGGGCAGCAAGAGUGGCAUUUCCUUACCGGUAAAACUUUGGGUAAGAGGAGAAGGAGGAGGACUCUGACUCAAAGGUUUGCCUUGCCCCUCUCUGUGACUAAGCUGCAGUUGCUGCACUGCACGUGGCUCCCAUGCAGGGGCCCAUGCAGGGCUGGCAGCAGCCCUGCUAAUCCCAACUCAGCAAAACCUGCUGAGAGCCACAGCAGCUGAAGAGACUCCUGCCACCUCCCACCUGGAAGCUGCCUUAGAAUUUCCCCUUCUCAAGGGCAUGGGAGAGGAUUGAGGCUCUUGGGAUCAAGAAAGUGAUAUCUUAAUGCAGGGGGGAGAAAACAACAGAUAAAAGCAGGCAUGACUUGGCUGCUGGCUGUUGUGUAAAACAACUUGGCUUAAAAGGUGGGGUGGUCAGGCAAUUAUGUAAAUGCUGACUCCUGGCAUUGCAGUGAGCAAAGAUGAGAUUGCAGAGUCUUAAUGCAGGUUUUGUAUGUUAGAUGCUAAAUUGGGAAAAAAUUCCGUCAGCAGCACUAUAUAAAACAAUUAGGUUUGUUAUUAAGGAGUUAUGUUUCCUUUUGAAGGACUGGAUCACUUUAAGUCUCCCAAUUGUUUACAGAGUUCAGCAAACCUUUAGGCUGGUCUGGUAGAGUUAAUCUGGUACUUGUGUUAAUGACAAAUUACAUCAGUCUAAUGUAAAUGUAUCUUCAUGAUCUCAAAUACUUUGGGAAAUGACUUAACUUCUUAGCCACACACAGGCAAAAAGACAACUUGCCAAACAGCCAUGCUCAAAACAGGGGAUAUGCACUGUGAGAAGCAGUUGUCAUUUUUAGCUCACUUAAGUGAAAUAGACUCCAUAUAGAGCAAGGCAGACAUUAGAAGAGCAGUAAAUAAUGAGAUUCAGAGUUGUUUGCUCUAACAAAUUGAUUACAGCAGAAGUUAUCUUACAGCCAAGGAGCCUCAAGGACAGUGCUCAUGGCAUGCAUCAGUUAAUAUAUGAAAGUGCAGUAUCUGUCAUUAUAGCUCAUGAGUCAACUCUUGUUUUUGUGUAUACAAAAGAAGGACAAAGGAGGGAAAGCCGUGCUUUUCUCUCUCUCUUUCUCUCUAUAAAAAUAAAGGAUGGGUGUGAUUUCCAUGGGAAGAACAAGAAUCAUGGCCUGGUCAG
ensembl:lncRNA